rnacentral:lncRNA from 1 species
UUAACUGAAGAAUCAUCUUCAAAUAUGCUGCUACCUGACAUAGUCACACUUUUAAAAAUAAGGAUCAGUGCAUUUUUCCCGAAAAAAAGAAAAAGGAUCAGCGCAAAUCAAAUGCAGAGUCCAGAAGCUGCUGGUGUCUUCUCCACAAGACCACAAUACGGGACCAACCCAAUUCCGGCCCAACCGACGAACACAGUCCAGUGACCUCGGGUCUUCACGGGAAGACGAGAGAAAUCUCCAGAAGCGUGCUUUCUCCUUCUCCGCCGUAUCAUCCCUAGCUCUCUACUAUAAAUUCUCCCCCGUGCCGCUCGACAGGAUAUACUCCCAGAAAGAGCCGAAUAUUCGUAGGAGAGGACGAGCUCGCCUGCUCACUUUAUCUCCGUGCGCUCGUUUGUAUCGGGAUCCCAGCACAUGGUUGUAUGGACAGUAAUUAGGCUCCAGGAAAAUACCGUGUUGACCCCACAGCGCACGGCCGUGCCGUUUGGUCGGGAUGACGGACGGCGCCAGAUCACAUCCAGUACCCACCGCACAGGAAAGGUCCGCCGUCAUGUGCCGUACAGUACCGUCUGCCACUGGCCACGGCCACUCCGACCGAACAGAAGAUUGUCGAGCUGUGCACCAAGAGGCUGCUGCUAUGAUUAAAAACUUGAUGCACCGAUUUGACAAGAUUUCGUUAGGUACAUUAUGUGCAGGCAAGAAUUCAUCACACAACCUUGCUACAAAAUAGCUAAAGCAUGGCAAUCCGAGACAUAACUUAAUACAGAUGCAGCAAAAUUAUUCGGUCAUCUUAAUAUAGCCAUAACAUAACCUGCAAAAAAUAUAUAUAUAUACAACCAUAACAUGCUAACAACAAAUCCAGCAGCUCCCAUGAUCUGCAAUGAUCUCUUUUGAACUGUGAAACUGAUCAUACCUGAGAAAAAUAACAAAUUUUUGUGCUCUGAAUCUUGUAACAUUGCAUGCUCAUAAACAUGAACAAACUACUCCCUCCGUUCCUAAAUAUAAGUUUUUUUAGUGGUUUCAAAUGAACUACAACAUACGGAUGUAUGUAGACAUAUUUUAGAAUAUAGAUUCUCUAAUUUUGCUUCGUAUGUAGUCCCUUAUUGAAAUCUCUAAAAAGACUUAUAUUUAGGAAUGGAGGGAGUAGUAGAUAUAUUUUCACAACUAGGAAAUUAGAGCAAAGAAGACAAGAGCGUUUCCUCCAAAAAAAUUGUAAUCUGCCUAAUGAUAAUGAUUUCAUUGAAAACAUGUAGACUAUGUUGACGAGCCUGGCACACACAACAUCUAAUUAGAAAAAUCUUCUAUACAAACAGAUCACUUGGCUUUGACUAGAAUAGUUCUAUACUGGCUGGCUGGUUGGACAAGCAUGCCCAUCAGUCAAAACUCAAAACCAUUCAAGCAAAAUUGACAUGUAUUCUGUCUGGAGUAGCAAUGUGAAAUAUGAUAAAGCUAUGUCAGGGAAAUUAGGAAGAACGUAAAAAAAGGAAAAGCAGGAACAAAAAAUUAGAUCCUUUUUACUGUCUUUCUUUGAGCAGUGAGAAAUGACCAAAAAGUAUGUUUUUUAGCACAGAAGAACCAUCAUAUGAACAAAUAAUGUAUAUAUGAGCAGUAUUUUUUGCUUAAUCUUUUUUUUUUCAAUUGGGUUUCAAUGGAAACAAAGUCAUUUGUUGUAAUACACUCGCGACACCGAUUGCCAGUGAUUGGCUUCUUUUCCCGCUGACACGUGCUUACGUAUAAUGUAUACAGGUUUAGGAAAAAUCCUAGCUUACAAGACAAAAUCGAAUUGUAAAAUUGGACGUACCACUAGUAGCUCACAUUGUAAAUCAGCAGCCUUAUCACUGCCAGGCACUCACAUCGCAAGAUCGAGUACUUCUUCGGCUUCCCCUGCCAAAAAUAUAAAAGAGUCCACAUGAAACACGCCAACUAUGUCGGCCUACCAGGAAAUGUCUAGAAGACGAACAUGACACUCACACCAAUUUCAAAGCGCGAUCCCAUUAUGCUCGCGUCUGUGCGUUUGGUCCCAAAUGGACAGACCGCACGGCCCAAUGCGCGACCCCAUCAUUACUUUUUGUCUAUUUCACGUCUGGUCCGCUUCAUUUCCUGCUCAAACAUCCACCGGCUUUGCGUCCACACGGACGACGAACGGACGCCGACGCGCUCGCUCAGCGUUCGCUUCGAGCCCGUGUGGCAGCUACGCACCUACCAUCCACCACACACAUUUACCGCGCACAUGUGGGCAGCCCUACUUGGCAGCCAUCCCGGUCGAGCAGUCGUCGUCCUUUUUAAUGUGAAGGUCGUGGACCGAUGGAGUCCACACUUCCACUUCCCCGGUGAUGCGUGCCUCCUCGUAGCCCGACAGCCAAACCCUAGCCCACCGCUCCUCUACCUCCCCACCAGCGACAAUGGUGGGCCGCUGGUUUCCCGGCCGCAAGACGAGGCACGACCACAAGGCCAGGUCCUUGUCUGGCGGCGUCGCCGCUUCCCCACUCCA